rnacentral:lncRNA from 1 species
UUUUAUUUUAUAGGAUGAGCCUUUCAUAUAGUAGGGCUCUAUUAUGGUGCACUUCAAUCUAAGUAGAUGAGUUCAAUAAUAUGAGUUUGAAAUGAGAAAAAUCAAAUAUCAAAACUUAAGGACAUGCUGUUGCUGAUAGAUUUUUGUUUUAGUCACAAUUAGAUAUACGUCUUCUUUACAAAUAAUAGACAAAAGGAAGAUGAGGCCAA